CCAAAAGAUUGUGCGAAAGUGACAGAGGGAAGAGGAUGAAGGGACAGAGGAGGGACACACUGGGAGAGCCAGAGCAGGCGGUGGGGAGAGGGAGACAGACGCACGGAAGGAAAGAGAGACCGGGGGGAGAGGCAAAGGAUAGCAAUAAGGAGAGGAAGGGAGAAAGGAAGAAAAGGGAGAGAAUGAAAGACCCAGAACUUGAGAGAGAGGCAUAGAGAGAGAGAAGCAGGAGAGAGAGGAGAAGAGACAGGCAACUGAAGCAGAGACGGAGCCCAGUCCAAGGCGCCGGGACCAGCCCGCUGCGCACUUUCCCCCACGGCAAGGCUGGGUCUCGGGAGGCGUCCGGGGCAGAGAGCUGGAAAGGGCUCGCAGAGAUGAUAUAAUGUCGUGGAUUUCAACUUUUCGGGGCCAUAGACACUUUUCAGAAAUUGAUAAAACGUUGACACACCUUGUAAAAAAUGAACACAUUAAAAUUAAGCCUGCAGUUUGAGGUAAUGGAGAAGCACUGGAGAUUUGUAAGCCACGGAGUCAAAUGGUGGACUGGGAUUUUCAGGAGAUCAUUUAGAGUUACUUCACUGCUUUUACCUGCGGACAUGAUGUCAUAGAGCAAGAUCUUACCAAAUCCUUUAGUCAUGGUCUAUUUCGUUGCACUCAUAUGGUUGUUACUGCGAAGGUGAAGAACUAAUGACUGCAGCAGGAAAAAGAAUUGGAUGUGUCAUGAAUUAUGGCCCUGCUUAUACUUCUACUUCAACCGUAAUCAUUUGUUUAAACAAAAAGUUCUGCAUUUGAAUUGUCACAAUUGUGUGUGUGUUAUAAACAUCUCAUAUUUCAUCCAGGCUCAGCCAACACUUGCCUUUAUUAAUGCUCAUAAUCAAGAAAUAAAAUCUCAUACUAACCAA
rnacentral:lncRNA from 10 species